UACGUAGGGGGCAAGCGUUGUCCGGAUUUAUUGGGCGUAAAGAGCGUGUAGGCGGCCAUUCAGGUCAGCUGUGAAAACUCGAGGCUCAACCUCGAGACGUCGGUUGAAACCGUUUGGCUAGAGUCCGGAAGAGGAGAGUGGAAUUCCCGGUGUAGCGGUGAAAUGCGCAGAUAUCGGGAAGAACACCCGUGGCGAAGGCGGCUCUCUGGGCCGGUACUGACACUGAGGAGCGAAAGCGUGGGCAGCAAACAGG
rnacentral:rRNA from 1 species